CCAUUAUCAUAAAUUCAAACACCUCUGAAUAUGAGAGGCAUCUAAUGCUCUGCGUAUAUAUCCUUCGAGUUGCUAUCCAAAUCAAUUAUUCCAAUUCUUUCCAAUUUCCACCAUCCCCUUGUCAUCUUUUAUUGUUAACUUUGCCUUUAUGAUUCUCAUUCCUCUUCAACAUGCAUGAGUACUCCGCCGUAUAUAUAAGAGAAAAUGGCAGGUCGUAGAGGCCAGCUUACCGAGACAUAAACAUUCUAUCUCCCCAUCAGUCAGUGAAGCAUUACAGAUUAAUGGCAUCAUUGAAGGCUGAGAAAUCUGCUGGCACUGACCAGCCCUCCGGGCAGGCCAAGAAAGAGCCUGCCAAGCUUAGUGACAGCACCUCCAAAACAACGGCAUCAAAGCCGGCCUCCAAGAAGGCUGCACAAAAGCCUCAAGAAGCCAAGAAGAAGCUGGGAAAACGAAACAAAUCAGGAAAGCACUAAGCUAAUUGUCAAGUGCAUCAGCUGUGGGGUGAAUAAGUUGACAGUUAGUCCCAUGCUAUCUAAUUUCAGUACGUUUUAGCUUUUAAUUCAAUAUUGUGUAACAAAAACCCUAUCUUACUGAUCCAGGGCCAUUGAUGCAUCUGAAUGUAAGGCGCUUGCGUUAGAUAAAUAAAACUUUGUAUUUGAAACUA